ACCUGCAUCGAAAGUGAUUGUGGAUCUGUUGGUGACCCAGUCAUUGAUAAUGCAGGGAAAGCAAAGUGAACGAUUUCCCGUGUUUGUGGGUUACUUGGUACCUUUUCAAACCCUGUAACGUUCACACA